AUUUGCAGUGCGGCCUGAGUCU
rnacentral:piRNA from 1 species